rnacentral:rRNA from 1 species
AUUGAACGCUGGCGGAAUGCUUUACACAUGCAAGUCGAGCGGCAGCGCGGGGGCAACCCUGGCGGCGAGCGGCGAACGGGUGAGUAACAUAUCGGAACGUACCCUGUCGUGGGGGAUAACUAUCCGAAAGGAUAGCUAAUACCGCAUACGACCUGAGGGUGAAAGCGGGGGACCGCAAGGCCUCGCGCGAUAGGAGCGGCCGAUAUCGGAUUAGCUAGUUGGUGAGGUAAAGGCUCACCAAGGCGACGAUCCGUAGCGGGUCUGAGAGGACGACCCGCCACACUGGAACUGAGACACGGUCCAGACUCCUACGGGAGGCAGCAGUGGGGAAUUUUGGACAAUGGGCGCAAGCCUGAUCCAGCAAUGCCGCGUGAGUGAUGAAGGCCUCGGUUGUAAGCUCUUUCGCCACGACGAUGAUGACGGUAGUGGGA